CAUGCGCUGCUCUCUUGUUCUCUGGUCUCUUCACUCUUUCUCUCUGCUCUACACGCUUACGGAGCGUGCCCUGUCUCCCAGCAACGCCCUAAGAAGUCCGGCACGGCUUGCCGUGAAGAUUUUUGUUCUUCAAGCCACACACACGAAGGGUCGCGACUUUGGCUUUUCCCUUGUUUCCAGCAACUUUCUUGCUUAUAUUUUCUUUAGUUUUGUUUGUUAAAAUUUAUCAGACAGUCGCGCAGCUUUGAAUUCAAGAACGACCAAGUUCUUUUAAGCUUUAUUGUAGUCGAGUGAAUUUAUACUUCUCCAAAGUUCGGACCCAGCCACGUGUGUCCGUUACACCAGCAGUAACGGAAAGGACAUCAAAACCCACAACUAAAGCCAGUUAACAGCCUACCACUGCAAGUUUUCUUCAAACCAAGCCAAAGGGCGGAUCUCCGGAGCAAUUCCCUGGCAGAGAAAGCGACUGGCCGACGGCCGUCUCAACCGAGAACGCAUGCAACUCAGCCAGCGUGAGACCGGCCGAACACCAACCGGCUGGAGAAACAACAAGCAGAUCAUCACCUGCUCCUCUGCCUCACGUUUGCCUUCUGCUGGACAGCCAGACAUGCGUCCCCCAUUCGCCAUUCCCCACGUCAUCUCGUCUGACAUUAUUCACAAACUUCCUUCAGAUGCCUUCAGAUCUCCAACCCUAUAGUCAUCUUUCGUUCAUCUACUGCCCCUACACCAUCACAACACUGUGGGCACAAUGCACUAUUUUUCACCUACUACCUCUAUGAUCCCAAAGAGGUGAUAAAGCAGUUAAACUCCUCCACCUGAUUCUUUGAGCCACAAUUUUUUUUCAAAGAACCUCUUACACCCAUCUGUGAUAAGCAACUACAGACCAAUCUCCAAUAUCCCUUUUCCUAGUAAAAUAUUUGAAAAGGAUGUCUACAAACAACUGCAUAAUUACCUGUCCCUCCACAAUCUAUACGAUGUGUAUCAACCUGGCUUCAGGACUAACCGCAGCACUGAAACAGCUUUGAAGCAUUCAGUGAUCGAAAGAUCAACAAUGCUGCAAACAAACCUUCUAUCCUAGUAUUUCUAGAAUGGACUGCAGCCUUAGAUACUGUCAACCACAGCAUUUUAAUCAGUAAACUAUAAAAUUAAUUUGGGCAAUGUGGCCGUGUCUUAAAGUGGCUCUCUUCCUAUCUAACUGGCAGGACAUUCUCUGUGUCUCCUGCCAACUUUUAAACUGGCAAUUAUGACAUUUUAUUUGAGGUCCCACAAGGCUCAGUUGUGUAUUUCACUUUCACAUGAUAUCCUCAGCCCUAUUAAUGACCUUGACGGCUGUAUCAGUGACAUCAAGUACUGGAUGAUGAAAAACUUUUUGCAGUAAAAAAAAGGCUGCGAUCCUGUUGGAGAAAACCAUAUUACCAUUAUGACCUUACUGCUGUUUACAUUCUCCCUGACACAAAUUAAAAAAAUGCACUGGACAAUGACUUCCUGGGUGUAUAUGUGUAUGCAUAUUUGUAAAGUAAUAACUGUAUAAGCUAUGUUGUAUGUUACCAUAUUCAAAUGUAUAUCUAACUAUCUGUUAUGUUCUGUGUGUGUAGCAGAGGGAGACUACAAACUUUCCUGCCCUAUGGAAUAAAGUUCCUGAGUUUUGUCUCCA